GCAUCCUUGGAGUCGGCCAUCAAGAUCACUAAUGAGCCGCCCAGGGCAUGCAGGCCAACCUCCACAAGGCCCUAUAACUUCACGCAGGAGACCUCGAGAUGUGCUCUAAGGAAGCCGAGUUUAAGUCCAUCCUUCUCCUGUGUUACUUCCACGCCUGCGUUGCCGAGCGGAGAAAGUUUGCGCCCAAGGCUGGAACCGACCAUACCCCUUCAACACAGGUGACCUAACCAUCAGCGUUAAUGUGCUGUGCAAUUACCUGGAGGCCAAUAGCAAGGUGCCAUGGGAGGAUCUCCGCUACCUGUUCGGGGAGAUCAUGUAUGGCGGCCACAUCACUGACGACUGGGACCGUGUUCUCUGUCGAACCUACCUGGAGGAGUUCCUGCACCUGACCAGCUUGACGGGGAGUUGAACCUCGCCCAGGCCCCACACCACCGAACUUGGACUACUCUGGCUAUCACAGCUACAUUGACACCUGCUUGCCCGCUGAAUCUCCACAUCUGUAUGGCCUUCAUCCCAAUGCAGAAAUUGCUUUCUGACCAUGACAUCGAGCACCUGUUUAAGACGGUGUUUGAGCUGCAACCAAGGGAUAUGGGGAACUCUGAGGCGUGGUCAUCACAAGAGAAGACAAGGUGAAACAAACACUGGAUGAAAUCAUAGAGAAGCUACCGGAGGAGUUCAACAUGGUGGACAUCACGGGAAAGGUGGAAGAGCGCACCGUAUGUGGUGGUUGCUUCCAGGAGUGUGAGAGGAUGAACCUACUUACACGCAACAUCCGCUCCACUCUGAAGGAGCUCGACCUGGGCU